GUACAAGUGGCGGAAUUGGGAUACGCGGUUGCCUCAAAAGCAGCUUUCCUUUGGAAAUAUGGGUUCAAGUCCCAUCUUGUACA
rnacentral:tRNA from 1 species